rnacentral:rRNA from 1 species
GAUGAACGCUAGCGGCAGGCUUAAUACAUGCAAGUCGAGGGACAGCACAGGUAGCAAUACUGGGUGGUAACCGGCAAACGGGUGCGGAACACGUACACAACCUUCCUUUAAGUGGGGGAUAGCCCAGAGAAAUUUGGAUUAAUACCCCGUAAUAUAGUUGAAUGGCAUCAUUUGAUUAUUAUAGCUACGGCGCUUAAUGAUGGGUGUGCGGCUGAUUAGAUAGUUGGCGGGAUAACGGCCCACCAAGUCUACGAUCAGUAGCUGAUGUGAGAGCAUGAUCAGCCACACGGGCACUGAGACACGGGCCCGACUCCUACGGGCGGCAGCAGUAAGGAAUAUUGGUCAAUGGACGCAAGUCUGAACCAGCCAUGCCGCGUGAAGGAUUAAGGUCCUCUGGAUUGUAAACUUCUUUCAUUUGGGACGAAAAAGGGCCUUUCUAGGUCAACUGACGGUACCAGAUGAAUAAGCACCGGCUAACUCCGUGCCAGCCGCCGCCGUAACAC